rnacentral:rRNA from 1 species
UACAGAGGGUGCGAGCGUUAAUCGGAAUUACUGGGCGUAAAGCGCGCGUAGGCGGCUUUGCAAGUCGGGUGUGAAAUCCCCAGGCUUAACCUGGGAACUGCAUUCGAGACUGCAUUGCUAGAGUAUGGGAGAGGUGAGUGGAACUCCGAGUGUAGAGGUGAAAUUCGUAGAUAUUCGGAAGAACACCAGUGGCGAAGGCGACUCACUGGCCCGUUACUGACGCUGAGGCGCGAAAGCUAGGGGAGCAAACGGG